CAGUAGCCGCGGGAACACAGAGGGUGCAAGCGUUAAUCGGAAUUACUGGGCGUAAAGCGCGCGUAGGUGGUUUGUUAAGUUGGAUGUGAAAUCCCCGGGCUCAACCUGGGAACUGCAUCCAAAACUGGCAAGCUAGAGUAUGGUAGAGGGUGGUGGAAUUUCCUGUGUAGCGGUGAAAUGCGUAGAUAUAGGAAGGAACACCAGUGGCGAAGGCGACCACCUGGACUGAUACUGACACUGAGGUGCGAAAGCGUGGGGAGCAAACAGGAUUAGAUACCCCUGUAGUCCCUGUCUCUUAUAA
rnacentral:rRNA from 1 species